CAAUGGGGAGGUUGACCUGGAUUCCUUUUGGGAUACACUGUCAAUGGAAAGGAUCGCCCGUGGAUUUGUAUCAAGUCACCAAAAUAAUCCUUUUAAAGUGGAGCCAUCUUUUCACUUUUGGGCCCCUUGAAUUGGGAAGAGUACUCGGAGGUCAAACGUUGCUAUCAACACUGAAUUCCAAAAGAUCCGGCAUCCAAAGCCAGCUGAGGAGAGAGAGAUAACGGUGUCUGAGGACAGACUUAAAAAAGAGCUCUACAAGCAGAAGGUUCCUGUCAUCCGGGCAUUGUGUAAGGAGUGUGGUUUAGAUUCCACCGGCUCGCGCACUGACCUUCUCGUCAGACUUUCGGACGAGAUGAAGUCCAGGGAAUCCUAUGAUAAAGCCUUCCAAAAAAUUUGGGCUGCUUCAGGAGGCUGGGCUGUGAUCAUGUGCCCGUGUGGCAUAGUUUAUAGCAUUAAAUGUAAUAUCCGUGCAGAAAGCCCUCGUGAUUUCAGUGACAUGCUCCUCUCCUAGAAGCACAUACCAAAUAUAGUCAUUUAUGACUUUGCACGUGGAAUGGCGACCCACAUGAA